UACUACCAAAAGACUACUCGUAGCCAGCUCCGUGGAAUUUAGUCCACCUCGGUGACUGAGCAGUGGCGUUGCAAAGUAAGUAGCCGUAUUCCGAUUCUGUCGACUUUAACGCCUCAAAAGUACCCGUUCUCAGGUGGACUAAAUUCCAGGACUCCGGCCAAGCAUUCUAGUACCAAAAGACUACUCGUAGCCAGCUCCGUGGAAUUUAGUCCACCUCGGUGACUGAGCAGUGGCGUAGCAAAGUAAGUCACAAAAGUGCGAUUCCGCCGACUUUUACGGCUCAAAAGUACCCGUUCUCAGGUGGACUAAAUUCCAGGACUCCGGCCAAGCAUUCUACCACCAAAAGACUACUCGUAGCCAGCUUCGCGGAAUUUAGUCCACCUCGGUGACUGAGCAGUGGCGUAGCAAAGUAAGUAAGUAAACAGCAAUUCCGCCGACUUUAACGGCUCUAAAGUACCCGUUCU